rnacentral:rRNA from 1 species
UGGAAGUAAAAGUCGUAACAAGGUCUCCGUUGGUGAACCAGCGGAGGGAUCAUUACCGAGUUUACAACUCCCAAACCCAAUGUGAACGUUACCAAACUGUUGCCUCGGCGGGAUCUCUGCCCCGGGCGCGUCGCAGCCCCGGACCAAGGCGCCCGCCGGAGGACCAACCAAAACUCUUAUUGUAUACCCCCUCGCGGGUUUUUUACUAUCUGAGCCAUCUCGGCGCCCCUCGUGGGCGUUUCGAAAAUGAAUCAAAACUUUCAACAACGGAUCUCUUGGUUCUGGCAUCGAUGAAGAACGCAGCGAAAUGCGAUAAGUAAUGUGAAUUGCAGAAUUCAGUGAAUCAUCGAAUCUUUGAACGCACAUUGCGCCCGCCAGUAUUCUGGCGGGCAUGCCUGUCCGAGCGUCAUUUCAACCCUCGAACCCCUCCGGGGGGUCGGCGUUGGGGAUCGGCCCUUUACGGGGCCGGCCCCGAAAUACAGUGGCGGUCUCGCCGCAGCCUCUCCUGCGCAGUAGUUUGCACACUCGCAUCGGGAGCGCGGCGCGUCCACAGCCGUUAAACACCCCAAACUUCUGAAAUGUUGACCUCGGAUCAGGUAGGAAUACCCGCUGAACUUAAGCAUAUCAAUAAGCGGAGGA